rnacentral:rRNA from 1 species
AAUUUUUGGCCAUGGGGGGAACCCUGGACCCACCCAUCCGCGGGCAUGAUUGAAGGCCUUCGGUUUUUAAAUUACUUUGGUAGGAGAAGAAAAGGAUUUCCUUAUUCGAAGUUAUGCUUACGGUAUCCGCAGGAUUAGCACCGGCGAAAUUCGUGCCCGCCGCCGCGGUAAUACGUAGGGUGCAAGCGUUAAACGGAACUACUGGGCGUAAAGCGUGUGUAGGCGGUUCGGAAAGAAAGAUGUGAAACCCCAGGGCUCAACCUUGGAACUGCAUUUUUAACUGCCGAGCUAGAGUAUGUCAGAGGGGGGUAGAAUUCCACGUGUAGCAGUGAAAUGCGUAGAUAUGUGGAGGAAUACCGAUGGCGAAGGCAGCCCCCUGGGAUAAUACUGACGCUCAGACACGAAAGCGUGGGGAGCAAACA